AUUGAACGCUGGCGGCAGGCUUAACACAUGCAAGUCGAGCGAGAGGCGGACGGGUGAGUAAUGUAUGGGAAACUGCCUGAUGGAGGGGGAUAACUACUGGAAACGGUAGCUAAUACCGCAUACCAUCAGAUGUGCCCAGAUGGGAUUAGAUAGUAGGUGGGGUAAUGGCUCACCUAGGCGACGAUCCCUAGCUGGUCUGAGUGGAUGACCAGCCACACUGGACCUGAGACACGGUCCAGCCUCCUACGUGAGGCAGCAGUUGGGAAUAUUGCACAAUGGGCGCAAGCCUGAUGCAGCCAUGCCGCGGGUGUGAAGAAGGCCUUCGGGUUGUAAAGCACUUUCAGCGAGGAGGCGUUACUCGCAGAAGAAGCACCGGCUAACUCCGUGCCAGCCGCCGCGGUAAUUC
rnacentral:rRNA from 1 species